CCCUAUCUGCCGUGGGCGUUUGAGAUUUGAGAAGAGCUGCUCCUAGUACGAGAGGACCGGAGUGGACGAACCUCUGGUGUUCCGGUUGUGUCGCCAGACGCAUUGCCGGGUAGCUACGUUCGGACAGGAUAACCGCUGAAAGCAUCUAAGCGGGAAGCCCCCUUCAAGAUGAGAUCUCCCUGAGGACUUGAUCCUCCUAAAGGACCGUCGAAGACUACGACGUUGAUAGGCUGGGUGUGGAAGCGUUGUGAGGCGUUAAGCUAACCAGUACUAAUUGUCCGUGAGGCUUGACCAUAUAACCCUA
rnacentral:rRNA from 1 species